rnacentral:rRNA from 1 species
UACAGAAGGUGCAAGCGUUGUCCGGAAUCACUGGGCGUAAAGGGCGCGUAGGCGGCCCGAUAAGUAGGGGGUGAAAUCUUGCGGCUCAACCGCAAGGCUGCCUUCUAGACUGUCGGGCUUGAGCACAGUAGAGGCAGGUGGAAUUCCCGGUGUAGCGGUGGAAUGCGUAGAGAUCGGGAAGAACAUCGGUGGCGAAGGCGGCCUGCUGGGCUGUUGCUGACGCUGAGGCGCGACAGCGUGGGGAGCAAACAGG